CCUAUGCGCUCCUGUAAAGCCUGUCAAAAAUGCACAUAUGAUGACCUACUAUCACUUCUAUUUAGUUGUUUUCGCAGUAAAAAUGGUCACAGGGUACUGUGCGAUCGGCUGCACAAACAGACAAGGAUAGAAAAUUUGUCAUUUUAUUGUAUAACUUUUAAUGAGGAAUGCUGCUGCGGCGAUGGAUAGCAGCCGUCAAUCAUAAUGACUGUCAGCCCUCGGUGUAACCGCGGAUUUGCAGCUUUUUACAAGAAAUACGAACAGACCAGCAACUUGCUUUGAUGUGUUUGACGAGGCAAAAUGAACCUUUAUUGCCCCGUAAAGGAGGAAUUCAGAUGUUCUCCAGAGACAGGAGUGAAACGCUGAUGACUCUCUGCCGUCCUCAUCACACUUUGCAGAGACUUCCUUUCAGCUGCAGUGCAGUUGCUGCUCAAUGCUGUGAUGCAGCUCGUUAGAUGGAUGGGAAAUUCUCACUGUCAGCCUCUUAGGGAAGUGAAUCAUUUAGUUUUGGUCAGGUUUUAAGACUCCAAAAGAUUUGUUCAAUCAUCUGGAUUCCUCAAAAGUCUCUAUCAGACAGUCGCUGAUUUUCAGGGUGGUGUA